rnacentral:rRNA from 1 species
AACGAACGCUGGCGGCAGGCUUAACACAUGCAAGUCGAGCGCCCCGCAAGGGGAGCGGCAGACGGGUGAGUAACGCGUGGGAAUCUACCCAGCUCUACGGAACAACUCCGGGAAACUGGAGCUAAUACCGUAUACGUCCUUCGGGAGAAAGUUUUAUCGGAGUUGGAUGAGCCCGCGUUGGAUUAGCUAGUUGGUGGGGUAAUGGCCCGCCAAGGCGACGAUCCAUAGCUGGUCUGAGAGGAUGAUCAGCCACACUGGGACUGAGACACGGCCCAGACUCCUACGGGAGGCAGCAGUGGGGAAUAUUGGACAAUGGGCGAAAGCCUGAUCCAGCCAUGCCGCGUGAGUGAUGAAGGCCCUAGGGUUGUAAAGCUCUUUCACCGGUGAAGAUAAUGACGGUAACCGGAGAAGAAGCCCCGGCUAACUUCGUGCCAGCAGCCGCGGUAAUAC